rnacentral:rRNA from 1 species
UACGUAGGGUGCAUGCGUUAAUCGGAAUUACUGGGCGUAAAGCGUGCGCAGGCGGUUUUGUAAGUCUGACGUGAAAUCCCCGGGCUCAACCUGGGAAUUGCGUUGGAGACUGCAAGGCUAGAAUCUGGCAGAGGGGGGUAGAAUUCCACGUGUAGCAGUGAAAUGCGUAGAGAUGUGGAGGAACACCGAUGGCGAAGGCAGCCCCCUGGGUCAAGAUUGACGCUCAUGCACGAAAGCGUGGGGAGCAAACAGG